CCUACGGGUGGCUGCAGUGAGGAAUAUUGGUCAAUGGACGAAAGUCUGAACCAGCGAAGUAGCGUGAGGGAUGACUGCCCUAUGGGUUGUAAACUUCUUUUAUAUGGGAGUAAAAUGUUCCACGUGUGCUAUUUUGUAUGUACCAUAUUAAUAAGGAUCGGCUAACUCCGUGCCAGCAGCCGCGGUAAUACGGAGUAGCCGAGCGUUAUCCGGAGUUAUUGGGUGUAAAGGGAGCGUAGGUGGUUUGUUAAGUCAGUUGUGAAAGUUUGCGGCUCAACCGUAAAAUUGCAGUUGAAACUGGCAGUCUUGAGUACAGUAGAGGUGGGCGGAAUUCGUGGUGUAGCGGUGAAAUGCUUAGAUAUCACGAAGAACUCCGAUUGCGAAGGCAGCUCACUGGACUGCAACUGACACUGAGGCUCGAAAGUGUGGGUAUCAAACAGGAUUAGAUACCCUGGUAGUC
rnacentral:rRNA from 1 species